rnacentral:rRNA from 1 species
CCUACGGGAGGCAGCAGUGAGGAAUAUUGGUCAAUGGGCGCGAGCCUGAACCAGCCAAGUCGCGUGAAGGAUGACUGCCCUACGGGUUGUAAACUUUUUUUAUAAAGGAGUAAAUUGCGGUACGUGUGCCUUUUUGUAUGUACUUUUUGAAUAAGGAUCGGCUAACUCCGUGCCAGCAGCCGCGGUAAUACGGAGUUUCCGAGCGUUAUCCGGAUUUAGUGGGUUUAAGGGGAGCGUAGAUGGGUGGGUAAGUCCGUAGUGAAAGUUUGCGGCUCAACCGUAAAAUUGCAAUUGAUACUGGCAGGCUAGAGUGCAGGAGAGGUAAGCGGAAUU